rnacentral:rRNA from 1 species
UAUACCGUGUAACUGCGAAUGGCUCAUUAAAUCAGUUAUCGUUUAUUUGAUAGUACCUUACUACUUGGAUAACCGUGGUAAUUCUAGAGCUAAUACAUGCUAAAAACCCCAACUUCGGAAGGGGUGUAUUUAUUAGAUAAAAAACCAACGCCCUUCGGGGCUUCUUGGUGAUUCAUGAUAACUUUACGGAUCGCAUGGCCUUGCGCCGGCGACGGUUCAUUCAAAUUUCUGCCCUAUCAACUUUCGAUGGUAAGGUAUUGGCUUACCAUGGUUUCAACGGGUAACGGGGAAUUAGGGUUCGAUUCCGGAGAGGGAGCCUGAGAAACGGCUACCACAUCCAAGGAAGGCAGCAGGCGCGCAAAUUACCCAAUCCCGACACGGGGAGGUAGUGACAAUAAAUACUGAUACAGGGCUCUUUUGGGUCUUGUAAUUGGAAUGAGUACAAUUUAAACCUCUUAACGAGGAACAAUUGGAGGGCAAGUCUGGUGCCAGCAGCCGCGGUAAUUCCAGCUCCAAUAGCGUAUAUUAAAGUUGUUGCAGUUAAAAAGCUCGUAGUUGAAACUUGGGUCUGGCUGGCAGGUCCGCCUCACCGCGUGUACUUGUCCGGCCGGGCCUUCCUUCUGGAGAACCUCAUGCCCUUCACUGGGCGUGUUGGGGACCAGGACUUUUACUUUGAAAAAAUUAGAGUGUUCAAAGCAGGCCUUUGCUCGAAUACGUUAGCAUGGAAUAAUAGAAUAGGACGUGCGGUCCUAUUUUGUUGGUUUCUAGGACCGCCGUAAUGAUUAAUAGGGACAGUCGGGGGCAUCAGUAUUCAAUUGUCAGAGGUGAAAUUCUUGGAUUUAUUGAAGACUAACUACUGCGAAAGCAUUUGCCAAGGAUGUUUUCAUUAAUCAGUGAACGAAAGUUAGGGGAUCGAAGACGAUCAGAUACCGUCGUAGUCUUAACCGUAAACUAUGCCGACUAGGGAUCGGGCGAUGUUCUUUUUCUGACUCGCUCGGCACCUUACGAGAAAUCAAAGUU